CCGUGCUUUGUUCAUCUUGAAAAAGCCUACCCAUCAAAUAAUAAGAGAGCUUAGCUAAUUAUAAAAUGUUUCACCAAUACUUAGCUUGCCCACGAAUAAUUGCUGCUGAUGAUAAACAAAUAACGUCGGAAGAUCGCCAUGGGGAGGCUCGUGCAGGAAAAGGAUGGAAGAUCGCCAUGGGGAGGCUCGUGCAGGAAAAGGAUGGGCUUCGCAACAACUCGAAUAAUAAAACCAGGCAACUUGAAGUAUAAUACUGGAGCAAGAGC
rnacentral:lncRNA from 1 species